CUUGACUACUUUCUUACGUGACAUUUCUGAUCAUAGACAUGGAUUCCUUGGUUAGUUUGAUGUUGGAGCUGCCAAUGGUGUUGAUGCUGUGUUCAUGGUGUGAGCAUUGGUUUUGCAGUUAUUUUCCAGUUGUGAUGUCCUGAAAUGAAGCUUGUGCAGACAUUCAGUUCAACAUCAUACUCAAAUAUGUUAUUUGCCCAUGUUGGUGUCCUUGCAUUGUUGAGCUGUUGUGCAAAAUAGUCGAUGUUGCUAGGUGGCUGUCGGGUAUGUUUCAUCGGCUGCCUUUUGUCGAUGUGUCGUCUCGUCUCUUGCCAAGCCACCUGUACACACGUUAAGUUACUACACCGAGGCUCAAACUUACUGCACUACCAACGUUGGUGAAAACUACGCCGAAUCGCCCGAGUAAUACUCCGCCCCAAACUAACAAUCGCAACUGAGGUGGCUGAGUACUUCGUAGCCCGAAUCACUACAUAGCUGCUUCUUCGUACUACGUUGAACUAAAAUACUACACUGAGACUUCAGUCUACUACACCACAACCAACGCUUCAUCUAACUACUAAACCGAAGCCCCUUAGUACUACAUCGAAACGGUAUUACAUAGCCACGUACGGUGCUCCAGCUUAGUAUACCGAGAAACUUAAUCGAUAAAAGGAGAAAGAAAGGGAAAGAAACCAGUCGAUAGAAUCUCCAACACGGCAACAGUAAAUGCAGUGCACCUUUCGUCAUCAACUGCAAUCUUUGUUGUAUCACUAGUUCGCAAUCAUGGCAAACUAUGGCGUCAUGCUGCUGUUGGGUGUUGUAUCGUUGAUGGCUGGGUCGACCACGGGUGUACUGAUGUUUCCUGUGUAUGGUGGAUAUCAAGCGACAGCAGCGAAAGAAAUAGAACACUGCGUCGCCGCCUUAUUACACAACGUCAACAUAUGCAAAACCACUUUACUACACUAAG